UACGGGAGGCAGCAGUGGGGAAUAUUGCACAAUGGGCGCAAGCCUGAUGCAGCCAUGCCGCGUGUAUGAAGAAGGCCUUCGGGUUGUAAAGUACUUUCAGUCGUGAGGAAGGUGUUAAGGUUAAUAACCUUAGCAAUUGACGUUAGCGACAGAAGAAGCACCGGCUAACUCCGUGCCAGCAGCCGCGGUAAUACGGAGGGUGCGAGCGUUAAUCGGAAUUACUGGGCGUAAAGGGCACGCAGGCGGUUAAUUAAGUUGGAUGUGAAAUCCCCGGGCUUAACCUGGGAAUGGCAUUCAAGACUGGUUAGCUAGAGUCUUGUAGAGGGGGUAGAAUUCCAUGUGUAGCGGUGAAAUGCGUAGAGAUGUGGAGGAAUACCGGUGGCGAAGGCGGCCCCUGGACAAAGACUGACACUCAUGUGCGAAAGCGUGGGGAGCAAACAGGGAUUAGAUACC
rnacentral:rRNA from 1 species